AGAGAGGCUCUUUUUAGAGCCACUCACUUUUAAAUGAUAUAUUUA
rfam:Lingula anatina scaffold1430, whole genome shotgun sequence.